rnacentral:lncRNA from 10 species
UUUGAUAAGGGGAGUCUUUCUUCCCUAAUCUGCUUUUUGGAUUUGCUCAUUUGUCUAGCCACAUAUAUAGUACGUGUACGUGGUGGCAAAGUGCUUGGGCACUGCAAUCAGUCUCCUGGGUUUGCACCCCAGCUCCGCCACUUGACAUGUAGGCUGGGGGAAGCCACAUCACUUUUAUGUGCUUUGGUUUUCUCACCUGGAAAAUGAGGAUAAUCAUAUGCUCUCUUGUUAGUGUUAUCAUGGGGUGAAGAUGAGGCAAUGCCAAGUAUAGUGCCGCGUACAGAGCCUGGAGCAAGGUAAGCACCCAAGAAUGCGAACUGCUACUAUUGUGGUCAUGAUUUUCUAGCUUGUAGCAGAACUACUACUUAUUUAGAUCAUGGCAUCUAAAAAUACAUUUCCUCAAAUAUCAAAAGAGCCAGGACCAGAAUCUUGGCCUCUGGCCUCAAAGAUAAUGCCUUUUCCCGGCAUUUCCCCUGGACAGGCUGGGAAACAUCGCACCACAAAAUCUACACUCUUUCAAUCCUUUUCCUCUUCCAUAAAAUGAAGAUAACAGUAGUACCUCUUGGAUGGAUGUGUUAAGAAAAAGAUAAUGCCUGUGAAGUACCUAGCGCAGGACCUAGCACAGUACAUAGCACGGUACCUGGAGAACUGUGAUGAGCUUGUUUCCCACUUCACUGGAAAACAAAAUGGGAAUAUUCAGAAGAUAAGUUCCACAGCUCCCAUAGCAUCUUCCUAUCUACCAGGAUUUGGACCUUCUACACCCUGCUCCCAUUAAGGAAUUAGCCUUGCUCUUGUCCAAAACUAGCCUUUGCGUAUGCCUUAGAUCCUAUCCCCCUUGCUUGCUCACAGGCUUUGCUCCAGCAAUUCUCCCUAUUUUUCCCCUAUACCAUCAGCUUCCUCUCUCUACUAGGUCAUUUCCACCAGCACACAACAAUACUGUCUCUCUCAUCUUAGAAAUGGAAACUAACAAAAUUGAGUUCACUUUUCCUUCUGACACUAUCCCUUUUCUACCUCCCCCACUUUACAGCAAAACUCUUUGAAAGCUGCCUGAAUUUCACUGCUUCCAUUUCCUCUCCUCUUCUCACUUAAACCUACUGCUGCCAGAACCGGGACUCCACCACCUCACCAGACCCCUGCUUGUCAAUAUCAUCAAUGACUUCCAUCUUGCUAAAUCCAUUUCUUGUCCCCAUUGAACUUGACCCUCAGUAACACCUUGUCAAAUUAACCACUCCCUUCUCAUGGAAAUGAUUUCUUGUUUUCUAAGACACUACACAUUUCGUUUUCCUUCAACACCCCUGGAUGCUGCUUCCCAGUCUUGUCCCUUAACCUCCUAGCACUGAAGUGAUGCAGGGCUCAGUCCACAGAUCUCUUCAUCUUUCCUGUUCACUCCAUACUCACCCUCUUGGUAAUUCCCUUCCAGUUUCAUCGUUUAAAUGGCAUCUGUCUGCAAAUGAUUAUCAAAUGUAUGCCUCCAGCCAUGGCCACUGCUCUCAACGUUAGCUUAUCCAUCUAACUGUCAACUCUGUAUCUCUACCUGGACGCCUGAUGGAGGUCUCCAAUGUACCAUGCCCUAAACUGAAAUUUUGAUCUUCUUUAUCCACAGAAUCUGCUCGACCCUAUCUCAGUUAAAGGCAUAUGUUACUAAAGCCAAAGUCAGCAAAGAAGGAGCCUCCAUGCUUGGAAACAACCCAGCUAACUGCCAUCUGUGUGGUAGCUUGAGUGUGGAUUGAAGAACGGAGAGUCAGGAUUCUAGGGGAGAGUGGAACCAAUGGCUGGGCUGGAACCUGCAUGCCAGCACCUCCCCCACAUGCUGUUGGUCAAGCCAGAUUCAAGAGAUGGGGAAACAGACUCCGCCUCUGGAUGCCGCAAAGUCCCACGGCAAAGGGCAGGAAUAUAGAGACCUUAUCUAGGAAAAUAAAUGAACCUUUAGCUCUGGAAGGAGAUAGAAUGGAGAAUGCCCUAUAAGGAGACAAAGAAGAAAUAGCCUGAGUUUUUAAAAGAUGGAUUGAGAUCCCUUUCUCUCCUCCUGGUUGCUGAGGAAGACAUACAUAUCCCACUGCAAUAAAUCGGGGGAUGAUCAUUCAUACCAUGACAAAAUGGCAGAAAAUGUGCAACUCCAAGACCAAGAAAACGUGAAGAGGCUGUGACUACCUCCAUGUGAGAAACAUCUGAGUUCCUCCUGAUCCUAAGACCUCCCCACAAUGUAUGUAUGAUAGCAAUUUCCUCUGACAGAGCAGUGAAUUUGAUGAUAGUGCAUCGAUUGCUGUAAAUUGUCUGCUGGGUUACCUGUUCCUACCACCUUAGAGCACUCACAGCUCAGUGACUGUGGAAGUCAGCUUCCAAGAUGUUCCCCUAUGAUCCUCCCCUCCUUGUAUUCACAUCUGUAAAGAUUCCUCCCACAAUGAAUCACAGUUUCGUUUUGUGACCAACAGAAUACAGCAGAAGUAAGGAAAUGUGACUUCCAAGGCUAAUGAAUAAAAGGCUUUGCAGUUUUCUCCUUGGUCAGUUGGAAGCCACCUGCCAUGGACACUCAAGCAGUUCUGUGGAGAGGCUCAUGAGGGAAAGAACUGAGGCCCCUCCACCAACAUCCAGCACCAACUUGUCAGCUGUGUCUGUGAGCCAUCUAGGAAUGAGACCCUCCUGAAGCCCUGGUGAAGCCUUCAGAUGACCGUAGCCCCAGCCAACAUUUGGCUGCAGUCUCAUGGCAGGCUCCAAGCCAAACCCUACCAGUGAAUUUGCUACCAAAUUCCUGACUCAUGGAAACUGUGUGUGUAAUAAAUGUUUAUUGUAUGAUAAAGCCACUAAAUUUAGGAGUAAUUUCUUACACAGCAAUAGAUAACUAGUAGAGUCACUUUGCAUCUCUUAGGGUCUAUGGCAAAUGACACAUAAUGAAUAGAGAAAUUGGAACAGACAACUGGUUGUCUGUUUCAGUACAGAAACUGGUUGGUAUUAAGAGUGACAAUUUUUAUUAUAGUUCAAGCUAUAGUACUGUAUGUUCUUGAAUAAACUAUGCUAAUCUAGGCCAUCCAAAGACUUCCCAAAAUGUAUGGUGAGAAUAACAUUUCCAAGAUACUAAACCAAUGUUUGUAGCUCCUGAUAAUUCCUAAUUCCUGGUUGCCCCAAGCCACCACCUGCCCCAACUAAAACAAAAGAAUUGAUCACAUCAUAAUAAAAUUAGAACCUUCAAAGAACAGGCACUGAUCUCUUGGAAUUUUUAUUUUAAACUUAAGUUUACAUGACAAUCUGCUUCCACUUACAUGAUAAUCUGAAAGCAUAUGUUGAAAUGGCAUGGUUCUUGGUUGCAGAAAACAGAAAUGAAAUCUACCUAAGCAGAAAUUAAAAUUAUAGGAGGGAUAUUGGGAGCUCAUAACAUCCAGAGGCUGACUAAACAAACAGACUUCAACGUCAAAAGCAGCCCCCACCCUGGAGGCUAGGGAUCUAUGAGAGCAAAUUGAACAUCUGAUCUCUCAGCUCUCACCAAACUCACACCAUGGCAGAACCUUCACGAAGGGAGGAAGAGACUCAGAUGCUGAACACAAGGAGAG